rnacentral:rRNA from 1 species
GACGAACGCUGGCGGCGUGCUUAACACAUGCAAGUCGAGCGGUAAGGCCCUUCGGGGUACACGAGCGGCGAACGAGUGAGUAACACGUGGGUGACCUGCCUCUAGCUCUGGGAUAAGCCUGGGAAACUGGGUCUAAUACCGGAUAUGACUCCACGGCGCAUGUUGUGGGGUGGAAAGCCUUGUGUGGCUAGAGAUGGGCCCGCGGCCUAUCAGCUUGUUGGUGGGGNGAUGGCCUACCAAGGCGACGACGGGUAGCCGGCCUGAGAGGGCGACCGGCCACACUGGGACUGAGACACGGCCCAGACUCCUACGGGAGGCAGCAGUGGGGAAUCUUGCGCAAUGGGCGUAAGCCUGACGCAGCGACGCCGCGUGAGGGAUGACGGCCU